rnacentral:tRNA from 1 species
AGGGGCUUAGGCUAACAGGAAAGACCAAGGGCCUUCAAAGCCCUAAGUGAGAGUUAAAAUCUCUCAGCCUCUA